CCUAUAUUUAUGAGUGAAUAUUAGAAAGUUCUAUUACAUGAUAUUUUCUCUCUCUCUUUUUCUUUCAAAUUAAGGACCUUUAAUUGAUAAUAGAUUUAACUUUUAAAUUUAAAUUGUAAAUUUUAAAAAGAAUUUGAUUAUGAUAGCCAAGUGUAGAACAUAUUUCAACUUCAUCUCAAAUAAUGUUAUAUUAGGAAUAU
rnacentral:lncRNA from 1 species